GAGUACGCGUGGGACGUACCUUUUGGUUCGGAACAACACAGGGAAACUUGUGCUAAUACCGGAUAAGCCCUUACGGGGAAAGAUUUAUCGCCGAAAGAUCGGCCCGCGUCUGAUUAGCUAGUUGGUGAGGUAAUGGCUCACCAAGGCGACGAUCAGUAGCUGGUCUGAGAGGAUGAUCAGCCACAUUGGGACUGAGACACGGCCCAAACUCCUACGGGAGGCAGCAGUGGGGAAUAUUGGACAAUGGGCGAAAGCCUGAUCCAGCCAUGCCGCGUGAGUGAUGAAGGCCCUAGGGUUGUAAAGCUCUUUUGUGCGGGAAGAUAAUGACGGUACCGCAAGAAUAAGCCCCGGCUAACUUCGUGCCAGCAGCCGCGGUAAUACGAAGGGGGCUAGCGUUGCUCGGAAUCACUGGGCGUAAAGGGUGCGUAGGCGGGUUUCUAAGUCAGAGGUGAAAGCCUGGAGCUCAACUCCAGAACUGCC
rnacentral:rRNA from 1 species